ACUUCGUUUCCAAUUCCAUCACUGCCUUCUUCCUCCUUCCUUUUUAUUUUCCAAUACCUAUUUAUGGAGCACUAGAGUCACUAAGCACAAUGAAUGGAUCAGCGAGGUCUGAGAGAAACAGGGGUGAAAAAGGCCAGCUUAGUUGGAUUUUUCCAUUUAAUGUUAAGGGUUCAAUUGGGUAGUACGCAAGAUUUAUUUGACACAAGCCCUGCAAUAUGGUGCAUUGUUCAAGCUCUUUUGUUUAUGGUUUCACGCGCAGAUUCUUUGGCAAACUGUGUUCUAAAACUGCUAGCAUCUAUGGAGCACUGGAGUCAUUAAGCACAGUGAAUGGAUCGACAAGGAAGCCAAUAAAAUAUGUUCUUUGUACUGCACUUAGUUCUUGUGGGAAAACCCGGAAUUGGCGUUUGGGUAUACAAAUCCAUGCUUUCAUGAUUCGAUCUGGAUAUGAAGAUAAUUUGUUCCUCUGUAGUGCACUUAUUGAUUUCUAUGCCAAAUGUUUUGCUAUUCUGGAUGCAAAGAAGGUAUUUAGUGGCAUCAGAACACAUGAUCAGGUUUCAUGGACUUCACUUAUUACGGGAUUGUCGAUCAAUGGACAAGGAAUAGGUGCCUUAUUGUUGUUCAAAGAGAUGCUAUACACCCAAAUUAUGCCCAAUUGUCUUACCUUUGUUAGUGUCAUUAGUGCCUGUGUUGGGCAAAGUGGUGGCCUUCAACAUUGCUCCGCUCUUCAUACUCAUAUCAUCAAGCAGGGAUGUGAUACUAACAAUUUUGUGGUCUGCUCAUUGAUUGACUGUUAUGCAAAUCAGGGACAAAUUGAUGAUGCCGUACUCUUAUUUGCUAAAACUAGUGAGAAGGAUAUUGUUGUGUACAAUUCCAUGAUCUCUGGAUAUUCUAAAAACAUGUUCAACGAAAAUGCAUUGAAACUGUUUGUAGAAAUGAGGGGGCAAAAUCUGGGUACUACUGAUCAUACUUUAUGCACGAUUUUAAAUGCUUGUAGCAACCUUGCAUUACUCCUUCAGGGAAGGCAAGUGCACUCUCUUGUUAUUAAAAUGGGUUCGGAAAGAAAUGUGUUUUUGGCCAGUGCUUUGAUUGAUAUGUAUUCAAAAGGUGGCGAUAUUGAUGAUGCUCAACGCGUGUUAGAUCAGACUUCUGAGAAGAAUAAUGUGUUGUGGACAUCCAUGAUCAUGGGUUAUGCUCAAUGUGGGAGAAGUUCAGAGGCUUUGGAACUUUUUGAUUGUCUACUGACCAAACAAGAGUUAGUUCCUGAUCAUAUCUGCUUUACUGCUGUCUUAACAGCUUGUAAUCAUGCAGGAUUGCUUGACAAAGGGGUGGAAUACUUCAACAAAAUGACAACAAAUUAUGGCAUGUCUCCUGAUAUUGAUCACUAUGCUUGCUUGAUUGAUCUUUAUGCUAGAAAAGGGAAUUUGAGUAAGGCAAGGGAUUUAAUGCAAAAAAUGCCCUAUGAUCCUAAUUAUGUAAUUUGGAGCUCUUUCUUGAGUUCUUGUAAGAUAUAUGGAAAUGUAAAACUUGGGAGGGAGGCUGCUGAUCAACUUAUCAAGAUGGAACCAAGUAAUGCAGCACCAUAUUUAACAUUAGCACAUGUCUAUGCAAGAAAGAAUUUAUGGAAUGAAGUAGCUGAAGUCAGAAGGCUUAUGCAACAAAGGGGAAUGAGAAAACCUGCAGGAUGGAGUUGGGUGGAGGUACCCUUCCAUUUGGUUACACGUCUUUGGGACACGUAUCUAGCUGAAGGAGAUGCCUUACCUGACUUCUCUUCAUUUCCAUUUUUUUUUUUAUAUCAGUAAUGACUGCUUCUUCAUUGCUCCUUUAUAUUCUGGUGGAAGUGUCAUAUUUAGCGCAGCCGUGUUCCCAUAUUAACACACUCAUGACACAGUUGCCUUUGCUUUUAUGAUUUUUUAAUGGUUAGGUUCAAAAUAAUUUUGCAAGACAAUAUGAGUAGUUCAUGCCUCUUAUCCCUUGGUUCGUGCCCCCAAAAUGUUGUACAUAUGUCAAGCAUCUAAGUUAAUUUUUUUUUUUAGUAUUUUUUAUAAAACAUCAUUUUGAGAAAGAGGAGGAACACAAAGUGACCAGGAUAAGAAACCCUCUGGAGCUAAAAGUUACUGCAAAAUUGAACUGAGAGCAUGAUGCAUUAAGGACAGCGUGCAAGUAUUCUAUACCUGCUACAUUGGUAGGUGCAGAAUUGGAGUAAAGCAAUAAACAUUUUCAAGAUACAGUCUUGUAUUUUGAGUUCUUAAUAUACAGUUCUAUCAAUCCCACAGACAAUGAACCAAUGGUGCAGAGCUUAUAUUUCUUCCUCAUCUAUUCUGUAGAGAAAUUGCGUGAAUUAUCUUGGAGUGGUGUUCCAGAUUACAUGCGUCCUGCAGUGUUGAGACUUCUCUUGG